UUUGAGAAGGUCAGAGGCUGUCCUAGGGUUGAAAUUGAUGGCAAUUGGCCACCUUGAAGAGAGCAGAAAGUGAGCGAGGGCGUGAACCAAGUGUUCAAUCACAGGAGAGUAUGCGGGACAUUUUAUAUUCAAGCUACAACCAGUCUGCAUGUGGAAACAGCUGUGUGCACAUCCCUCACAGAUUCAGAGCUGUAGGUGACAACAGUCUGUAUGAACACCACCCUUGGAAAUAUGCCUUCAGGGCCUCUGGGAGAUUCCUGAUUCAAGCAUUAGUAAGGAAACACACCUUGGUGAGAACCAC